UAAGGUUUAUGAAUUUUUUUUUCAACUAAAUUUAUGAUUUAUGGUAUAUAUGGUUAUUUAGUGUCUAAAGAGGUCUAGGGUUCUGGAUUUUAGAAUUUUAUAUAAAAUAGAUUAAUUUUAUUAAUUUUGGAGUUAAUAAUAAUAAUAAUUGUACAAGCCCAAAUAUGCCCGGGCCCAAGAAAAUAAAUAGACCCAAACAUGCCCAGCCCACUAAACCUAGCCCAAAAUUCUCAAAGAGCAGAAAACCCUAAGCAGUGGCAGCAAACUGGCGCCGCAACUGCUGCCCUUUUGCGCACCUCCGCAAGACUCGGAGUCGCACUCCUCGCGCACCUCCGCAAACGUCGCUUCGCACGCCUUUAGCCAUGCCUGCAGCAACAAACGGAAACAAACAACAACGAAAUAAUAGGAAUAACAUAAAAUAUUUUAUUAUUUUGUAUUUUAUUUUUUUAUUUUCGGUUAUAUAAACCAAUUGUAAAGAAAAGAAAGAGGCAAAAGUUUUACCCCAUAUCGGCGCCGUUGAACCUUCAUCGCUCCGUCACAAUCGGAGUUUGAAGGAGGCUUGGGGGCAUGAACGGCGGCAUUAAGUGGGGGUUUGGGUAUGAAAACCCUAGCAAAGGAUUUCUCUGCUGUUUGGUGCAAAAAAAAAAGAAGGGAAAAUGAGUUGUUUUUUGGGAAAUUUUGGGUUUUGUAACGAUUGCAAAACGGCGUCGUUUAGGGCUUGUUUCUGUGGCCCCAAAACGGCGCCGUAUAGGGCUAUACCCGUGCGGUGACCCGACCCGGGGAGGAUCCGCGAGUCAUGGGCCUAAAUGGUACAUUUUCAAGUUUGGUCCCUUGAUUUUUAGAAGCAUGUUUAAAUCAACUUUUUAUUUCUUUUGAUUUUGGCCACGGGUUUUAUUUUUGUUUCAAAUAAGUCCCUAUUACGGCGCAGUGUUUUAGAGGGGCGGAUUAUUUCUAUUUUGGCCCCUCUUGUAACUCGCGUGUUGCAAAUCAGUCCUCUGUCUGAUUUUAGUUUCAUUUAUUUUUUAUCACUAUUAUUGCAUC
rnacentral:lncRNA from 1 species